AGAGUUUGAUCAUGGCUCAGAACGAACGUUGGCGGCGUGGAUUAGGCAUGCAAGUCGAACGAAUCCCGGGGGCAACUCCGGGGGAAGUGGCGAAAGGGGCAGUAAGGCGUGGCUAACCUACCCCGGGGACGGGGAUAGCCUCCCUAACGGGAGGGUAAUACCCGGCGAUGUGGCGGGGGGACAUCCCCCUGCCAUGAAACGAGUUUCGCCUCGGGAGGGGGUCACGUGCUAUUAGCUUGUUGGCGGGGUAACGGCCCACCAAGGCGAAGAUGGCUAGCGGGUGUGAGAGCACGACCCGCGCCACUGGCACUGAGACACUGGCCAGACUCCUACGGGAGGCUGCAGUCGAGGAUCUUCGGCAAUGGGCGCAAGCCUGACCGAGCGACGCCGCGUGUGCGAUGAAGGCCUUCGGGUUGUAAAGCACUGUCGAGGGGGAGGAAGCCCGCAAGGGUUGACCUAUCCCUGGAGGAAGCACGGGCUAAGUUCGUGCCAGCAGCCGCGGUAAGACGAACCGUGCGAACGUUGUUCGGAUUCACUGGGCUUAAAGGGCGCGUAGGCGGCUUGCCGAGUCAGGGGUGAAAUCUUUCGGCUUAACCGGAAAACGGCUCCUGAUACUGGCGGGCUGGAGGGAGGUAGGGGCAGAUGGAACUUCCGGUGGAGCGGUGAAAUGCGUACAUAUCGAAGGAACGCCGGUGGCGAAAGCGAUCUGCUGGACCUCUUCUGACGCUGAAGCGCGAAAGCCAGGGGAGCGAACGGGAUUAGAUACCCCGGUAGUCCUGCCCUAAACGAUGGGUACUAGGUAUGGACUUGACUGGGGUCACUGCCGAAGCAUAAGUGUU
rnacentral:rRNA from 1 species